rnacentral:rRNA from 1 species
AUUGAACGCUGGCGGCAGGCCUAACGCAUGCAAGUCGAGCGGAUGAAGGGAGCUUGCUCCUGGAUUCAGCGGCGGACGGGUGAGUAAUGCCCAGGAAUCUGCCUGGUAGUGGGGGAUAACGUCCGGAAACGGGCGCUAAUACCGCAUACGUCCUGAGGGAGAAAGUGGGGGAUCUUCGGACCUCACGCUAUCAGAUGAGCCUAGGUCGGAUUAGCUAGUUGGUGGGGUAAAGGCCUACCAAGGCGACGAUCCGUAACUGGUCUGAGAGGAUGAUCAGUCACACUGGAACUGAGACACGGUCCAGACUCCUACGGGAGGCAGCAGUGGGGAAUAUUGGACAAUGGGCGAAAGCCUGAUCCAGCCAUGCCGCGUGUGUGAAGAAGGUCUUCGGAUUGUAAAGCACUUUAAGUUGGGAGGAAGGGCAGUAAGUUAAUACCUUGCUGUUUUGACGUUACCAACAGAAUAAGCACCGGCUAACUUCGUG